rnacentral:rRNA from 1 species
GACAGAGGAUGCAAGCGUUAUCCAGAAUGAUUGGGCGUAAAGCGUCUGUAGGUGGCUUUUUAAGUCCGCCGUCAAAUCCCAGGGCUCAACCCUGGACAGGCGGUGGAAACUACCAAGCUGGAGUACGGUAGGGGCAGAGGGAAUUCCCGGUGUAGCGGUGAAAUGCGCAGAUAUCGGGAGGAACACCGGUGGCGAAGGCGGUUCUCUGGGCCUGUACUGACGCUGAGGAGCGAAAGCGUGGGGAGCAAACAGG